UCUCACGGGCAGCAAUGUCAGUGGCGGACGGGUGAGUAACGCGUAGGUAUCUAUCCACGGGUGGGGGAUAACGUCGGGAAACUGACGCUAAUACCGCAUGAUGCCUGAGGGCCAAAGGCGCGAGUCGCCUGUGGAGGAGCCUGCGUACGAUUAGCUAGUUGGUGGGGUAAAGGCCUACCAAGGCGACGAUCGUUAGCUGGUCUGAGAGGAUGAUCAGCCACACUGGGACUGAGACACGGCCCAGACUCCUACGGG
rnacentral:rRNA from 1 species